rnacentral:rRNA from 1 species
ACGCUCGACACCUACGGGGGGCAGCAGUGGGGAAUAUUGCACAAUGGGGGAAACCCUGAUGCAGCGACGCCGCGUGAGCGAAGAAGUAUCUCGGUAUGUAAAGCUCUAUCAGCAGGGAAGAAGAUGACGGUACCUGACUAAGAAGCACCGGCUAAAUACGUGUCAGCAGCCGCGGUAAUCUGAGCGGGCUGGCAAGGC